GUAACCAUUUAUUCCAGCAUAGUCUUUUAAGCAUAUCUCCCACUAAAAAUCUUCAAUUGAAAUGAAACAUAACAUUCUAGAAACUUAAGAAACAAAUCUUCAACAUUGUUUUAGACAUCUUCCUCAACUUAUGAAUUUAAGAAGCUUAAAUAUUGGAUCAAAGCUACUGACCUAAUUGAAAUCCUGUUGCUACAAGACAUUUGAGUCCAAUCCAAUAAUUUAACUAUAAGUAAUUCUACAAGACUUGAAAUAUUAUAACAAAAAAUUCUGAGUGAUCAUAAGACAUAGGGCAAUAA
rnacentral:misc_RNA from 1 species